rnacentral:rRNA from 1 species
AGAGUUUGAUUCUGGCUCAGGAUAAACGCUGGCGGCAUGCCUAACACAUGCAAGUCGAACGGGGUUUAUAUAACAGAACUCUCCGGAGGGAAGUUAUAUAAACCUAGUGGCGGACGGGUGAGUAACGCGUGGGGAACCUGCCCUGUACCGGGGGACAACAGCCAGAAAUGGCUGCUAAUACCGCAUAAUCCUGCGCUGCCGCAUGGCAGCGCAGGGAAAACUCCGGUGGUACAGGAUGGUCCCGCGUCUGAUUAGCUUGUUGGCGGGGUAACGGCCCACCAAGGCAACGAUCAGUAGCCGGCUUGAGAGAGCGGACGGCCACAUUGGGACUGAGACACGGCCCAGACUCCUGCGGGAGGCAGCAGUGGGGAAUAUUGCACAAUGGGGGGAACCCUGAUGCAGCAAUGCCGCGUGGGUGAAGAAGUACCCCGGUAUGUAAAGCCCUGUCAGCAGGGAAGAAAAUGACGGUACCUGACUAAGAAGCCCCGGCUAACUACGUGCCAGCAGCCGCGGUAAUACGUANGGGGCGAGCGUUAUCCGGAUUUACUGGGUGUAAAGGGAGCGCAGGCGGCGUGGCAAGUCAGAUGUGAAAACCCGGGGCCCAACCCCGGGACUGCAUUUGAAACUGCCAUGCUGG